UACAGAGGUCUCAAGCGUUGUUCGGAUUCAUUGGGCGUAAAGGGUGCGUAGGUGGCAAGGUAAGUCGGGUGUGAAAUCCCGGGGCUCAACCCUGGAACUGCACUCGAUACUGCCAUGCUCGAGUACUGGAGAGGAGACUGGAAUUUACGGUGUAGCAGUGAAAUGCGUAGAUAUCGUAAGGAAGACCAGUGGCGAAGGCGGCUCACUGGCCCGGUACUGACGCUGAGGUGCGAAAGCGUGGGGAGCAAACAGG
rnacentral:rRNA from 1 species